rnacentral:rRNA from 1 species
UACGUAGGGUGCAAGCGUUAAUCGGAAUACUGGGCGUAAAGCGUGCGCAGGCGGUUAUAUAAGACAGUUGUGAAAUCCCCGGGCUCAACCUGGGAACUGCAUCUGUGACUGUAUAGCUAGAGUACGGUAGAGGGGGAUGGAAUUCCGCGUGUAGCAGUGAAAUGCGUAGAUAUGCGGAGGAACACCGAUGGCGAAGGCAAUCCCCUGGGCCUGCACUGACGCUCAUGCACGAAAGCGUGGGGAGCAAACAGG